AGGAGCGUUCUUUCUUUCUCCUCUUAUCAGGAGCAGCGAGUUCAGAUUCCUAGAGGGGCCGAAAAUGUUAAUAUGGGGGAAGAGGAAAAUGGCCGCUGCCUCUGACGUCAUUUCCGGUGAAUGGCGAGAAAGAGGGUUUGAGUCAAUAUCCAGCAUUUAGGCUGAAGUCUUAAAACAAAAUUUCCUGACAUCCUUGGUGAAUGAAAAACAAUUCCUCCCUCAAAACCAGGCACUGCUGUGGCACCAGCGGACUAAUCCACAUCCCCUCUUUGGGCUGAACAGAAAAGAGCUGCUGGACCUCUACUUGAAUUCCUGACCUUCAAGGCUGCAAGUAGAUGUCAAGGAGACCAAGCUACUAAAGGAAAAGACCCCAGGGCAGGUCCAGAGGAGGUGGCUUGCAAAGUUCAGGUAAGAAUUUAUUUUGUUUAUUUCCCUGAGCAUCUCUUUCUCUCCUCUCUCCCUUGGUGGUCUUCUCCCUGGGUUUCUCUUUCUGGAGAGGCUGGCAGUCUUAUGUGUCUUAUUGAAAGUCCUAUACAGUCACCCCUCCAUUUUCACAGAUCUGAAAUCCAUGCCCCUCACAUAUCGGGGGGGGGGGCAAACAGAGGGGGACUAAGUGGGGCGUGUGUCCGUGACAUGUGCCCACAUGCACUCAUGGACAUACACUACCAUUCAAGCCAAUAGGGCUAGAAUAUCGACAAGUUUCCAUUUUCACGGGGGGUCUGGAACAGAUCCCCUGCAAAAAUGGAGGGCUGACUGUAGUGUGACUGUGUAUUUAUUCACUUCUCUGGAUUGAAAGAAUAACACCUAGAUUAAAGAACAAUACGUAGAAGAAAAAACUUCCUUUUGCCCCACAGUCCUCCAAGCAUAGAACUCUGCUUCCUAGAGAAGCAGGAAGGGGGUAAUGAGGGGGAAGGAGGAGAGGGUGGCACCCCCUAGUCAUAUUUCUAGACUGGAUAUUUUUGGCAGGAAAAGGAAGGAGUUUGGGAAAGGAAGACAGUAAUAAUCAUAAUAAGGGGCUGGAGAGACCCCAAAUUUAAAUGUGGAUUAUUUUAAUGUGUGUACAUCUUAUCUUCCCUUUUAGAUUGAUGAGUGUUUUGACUGAUGCUGUUUGUUGUUGUUCCCUGCCUCGAUCCAUCUUUUGAUACUGGUUCUCAGGUGAAAGGACUUCUCAGAUUGCCUCUCCUUCAGGGAAGAGACCUGCUUGCGAUUGGAAGCCUUCACAAAUUUCUCCUUCCCUGUGUGUAUGUGUGUGCCUUCAAGUUGCCUGUCAAUUUAUGGUGACCACAUGAAUUUCAUAGGGUUUUAUUAGCCAUGGAAUCCUCAGAUAUGGCUUUGUAUCUUCUUCUGAAAUAUAGCCUACAUCGUGGUAUUUGUUGGCAGUCUCUCGGCCAAGUACUAACCAGGCCUGAUCCUGCUAAACUUCCAAGAUCAGUCAGGAUCUGGUGCUUCUAGGGUACCUGUACAGCAUAACAAUUAUUAACACAACAACAUACAUUGAUGGUGCUCUAAAUACCUGAUAAUAUCAGUAAUAACACAACAAUCUAUUGGUUUUACAGGGCAUUGCAGCACAGCAUCUUAGGGACAUCUUUGCCCUGAGACUGAUGGAAUUCGGUCUUCUUUUCGGUUUAUUUUUAUUCCAAAGUUAUCUUGUUAUUCCAACAUAUCAAAUUACCAACAACUGUACAGGCUGUACAGUUAGGUAUAACUAACAGUAGUAGUAGGUUUUCAUUUUUAUUUCUCCAUGUGUCUGUUACAGUUCUUCUUUUAAAAUACACACACAAACAUACAUCUAGAUCCAUGAGAAGACUUCCAUUAUAGGUCAAAGCAAGCUGUUCUAGGACUUCAGAUGUUCUUUUCUGUGGGCUCCAUGGAAUUACCUGUGCUCCAGCAUAUACAAUAAUGUUAUAUGAUAUAUAAUGAUGCAGUGACUAAGGAUGGCAUCUGUCCUCUGAAUGCCUGCCUGGAGUCAGUAAUGGGCUGGAUGAGGGAAAACAAACUCAGUUUGAAUCCAGAGAAAACGGAAGUACUGGUGAUAGGU